rnacentral:rRNA from 1 species
AUUGAACGCUGGCGGCAUGCUUUACACAUGCAAGUCGAACGGCAGCGCGGGCUUCGGCCUGGCGGCGAGUGGCGAACGGGUGAGUAAUGCAUCGGAACGUGCCCAGUAGUGGGGGAUAGCCCGUCGAAAGCCGGAUUAAUACCGCAUACGACCUGAGGGUGAAAGCGGGGGGCCGAAAGGCCUCGCGCUAUUGGAGCGGCCGAUGUCGGAUUAGCUAGUUGGUGGGGUAAAGGCUUACCUAGGCGACGAUCCGUAGCUGGUCUGAGAGGACGAGCAGCCACACUGGGACUGAGACACGGCCCAGACUCCUACGGGAGGCAGCAGUGGGGAAUUUUGGACAAUGGGGGCAACCCUGAUCCAGCCAUGCCGCGUGCGGGAAGAAGGCCUUCGGGUUGUAAACCGCUUUUGUUCGGGAAGAAAUCCUCUGGGCUAAUACCCCGGGGGGAUGACGGUACCGGAAGAAUAAGCACCGGCUAACUACGUG